AUUGAACGCUGGCGGCAUGCUUUACACAUGCAAGUCGAACGGUAACAGGUCUUCGGAUGCUGACGAGUGGCGAACGGGUGAGUAAUACAUCGGAACGUGCCUAGUAGUGGGGGAUAACUACUCGAAAGAGUAGCUAAUACCGCAUGAGAUCUACGGAUGAAAGCAGGGGACCUUCGGGCCUUGUGCUACUAGAGCGGCUGAUGGCAGAUUAGGUAGUUGGUGGGGUAAAGGCUUACCAAGCCUGCGAUCUGUAGCUGGUCUGAGAGGACGACCAGCCACACUGGGACUGAGACACGGCCCAGACUCCUACGGGAGGCAGCAGUGGGGAAUUUUGGACAAUGGGCGAAAGCCUGAUCCAGCAAUGCCGCGUGCAGGAUGAAGGCCCUCGGGUUGUAAACUGCUUUUGUACGGAACGAAAGCUCUGGGCUAAUACCCCGGAGUCAUGACGGUACCGUAAGAAUAAGCACCGGCUAACUACGUGCCAGCA
rnacentral:rRNA from 1 species